GUCCAGACCCAGCACCCCGCGUCGUUUCCUCUUUCUUCUUCCUUCCACGAGAGGUCAAGAGCCUCGCCGUGCCGCCCCACGCCGCUCGCCGCCCAUCGCCCUUGCGCCCCCUUGCCCGAUCCCUUGGUGCCGCCGCCGCCUUCUUCUCUCCAGGAACCCUACCGCCCCCACCGCCUCCUCCGAUUCCCUUCGGCUGCCCGCCAGCGCGUAGCCCCGUCUGACCCUACCAACAUGGCGUCGGACGAUCCCGUGCUCGCCGCUUGCAAGCUGGGCCACUUCAGAAUAAAAGAGUUGAAGGAUGUCCUGCAUCAGCUUGGACUUCCAAAGCAAGGAAAGAAGCAGGAACUAGCAGAGAGAGUUAUGAUAGCAUUCUUCAAUCAGCAGGAUCAAGUCUCUGAAGCGAAUGGUUUACAAAAGGAAAAAAAUGGUUGAAAGAGAAAUGGCUGUGAAAAUAGUUGAGAACACUUUUAGCUUUUGCCUUCUGUUUUCAGAAAGAUGCAAGAACCUGCAAGUAAUGUUGCAGUCUCAAGAAGCCACAUUGAGUCAGGACACAGUGUGAAGUCUAAAAAGAAAUCAGAUGAUUCUGGUGAGUUGAAUGUCAAGGUCCGCUGCCCUUGUGGUAACUCCAAGCCCAAUGAUUCCAUGAUUAAGUGCAACAUAAGGCAACAUGUUGGCUGUGUUGUCAUACCCGAGAAUGAGAAGUCUGCAAACAGUAUUUCUCCUGACCUACCUUCCCGCUUCUAUUGUGAGAUGUGCUGAAUCAGCAGGGCUGAUCCUUUCUAGGUCACCAUCAGCAAUGUGUUACUCCCUGUAUUAAUAGGACCCUCUACCAUAGCAGCAGACAGGUGAGUUAUCCAUUGUUUUAUUGAAAGGACCAACACUAGG